UUGAGUUUGAGACUGUGAAAAUACAUAUGGUAUGUUGUAUCUGAACAGGUUAGCUUACGAGCUAAAGUUACUUAGCACAGAUGAAAGUUAAAACAAAGACGUUUAGCAAACUGUUAAAGCACACAAACCAUCGUCAUAUGAGAAAUCAGACGCUAUGACUCUCCACAAGUUGUCCUUCAGGUCGUUAUCUUUGCAAUAUUUGUGUUUUUUAUCAAAAAGCUCUCUGUUCUCCGACAUGUAAACAAUCAGCCGGUCGGCCAUGUUGGAUAAACCGGUGAAUCUGACGUCGCAAAAACACGAAAUCUGAUUGGUCAGAAGUGGACACACAGUAUGUGAAACUUCAGAAAAUUCGACCGUGAUACGAAAAAAUAAAUGCUGCAAUAUCGCAGGACGGGAAAACGUCGCUGAUGUGAACCUUGUAUUGACAGGAUAUGGGUUUUAUUCAUACAAAAGACACAAUCCCGUUGUGUAAGGACCUUUAAUUUCUCUCAAGAUGUACAGUACUUGUUCCAAUACGAUACUCUAAAUCCUAGUUAUUUAGGGAAACAUCAUUUUAAGGUUUUUUGAGAAGGUCUUUUCGUUGGUUUAGCUGACUCAAGGGCAGUUCAGGACAUGUUUUAUAUUCAAGGAACAACUUGAAAUAGUGCCUCAUAACUCCUAUCUUCCACAGCAACUAGACACAUAGGACUCUCUCGAUUGUGCUGUGUAUUUGUUCUUUCAUUUAAAGAUAUCUGUGCCAAUCUUGGUGAGUGUUUAAAACUCUUUCACUCUGGUAAUUCAACGAAUAAAGCAUUCAAACGACUUCGUCCUUGGCAAUUUAUGAGACGUGGCGUAGAAUAAAAAGCAUCAUCAAAACCCAGAGAUGACAGUGCAGCAGAAAUUAUUCCACAAGUUAGAAAAUAUUGAGUAGAACUAGUGAUAGUUUUCAACAAAGGAUGUAUGAUCUUGGUCAGAGGGUUGACAAGGACCCCCAGAGAAUGACUCUGACAGAACUAUAGAGGUCUUUGUCUGUCUGAUGGGAGAUCUUGCUGGAAGGACCGUCAGUAGCAAAUUUUACAAGUCUGGGGAAGGGAAGUCAAAGUUGAACAUGUCAAAGAAGAUGCUGAUGCCCAUUAAAUCAGACUCUUUGACUAGAAAACCAAUCGUAAUAAGCAGGACUAUGGAAAAUGUAUAAAACCAAAUUGGCGGUGGAACCAGGCUGUUGGCUUUAACGCCACAGAGACCAGUGGGACCAUCAAUGAAACCAAGGCCGGAUAAAUUUUUAAUGAGUCAACCUCAGCUUAUCAAUAACCAUUGCAGGCCUUUGACCCGAGACCUGCAGAUCCCAGCUGUUAACCCCCAAGAGAGCAAAAAUCAACACUGCAGCGGCUUCAGGGGAAAAAAAAAAAACAUAUAAAAGCUGUUCAAUAAAACGACUCUAAGAGAGCAGCUUAGGGGUUGAGCAAAUCUGCAAACAAUGAUGGGAAGAAAUCCAAGAUCUCAAAUGUGCCAAGCUCAUGCAGAGAUAUCCAAAAACACUGGGAGGAGGAGUCCCUGCCAAAGAGGCUUAUGAAGCACACAUUGAAGAUGCUGAGUACUUCAUGUAUUUAUGUAAGAUGUGUAUAUUUUUGUCUUUUUAUUCUUGGAAAUAUACACCUAGAUUGUGAAAGUUAAAUACAUUUAUUGAUGAUUUAUCAGCCACACUUCUUCAUCUGUAAUGAGGUUCAUAAGGAAUGGUGAUUGUGCAUUUACAUCCCUCCUGCUGUGUUAGGGUCUGCACCUUUGUUUUUGUUUUUAAAUGCUUAAAAAAAACCACAUAAAUUAGUUUAUUUGCAUCAAGACUUUUUGACUUUGUCAGGAACAUUUAUUUCAAACAAAUAAAAAAAAAAAAAUUAAAUUGACUAAAUUAUAAAAUGCUCUUUUUAAAAUUAUGGCACUUGUCGUGAUAGGGUCGCUGUUGACCCGGUUAGAUUGAUAUCUAAUAAUUAGAGCAAAAACUGAAAUCAUAAGUGUCCUGUCAGGCACCACACUGACAGUCAGAUCCUCUUCUAAUCAUGUGAGAUUUUUCCACUCACCUCCUCAAAACAGCAAAUCAACGACUAUUCCAUCUCAGACAACUCAGGAAAUACAGAGUCAGGAAGAAUUUACUGGUACAAUUCUACACCGCCAUAAUUCAAAAUAUUCUGUCUUUAUCUAUUACCACAUGGUAUGGCAACACAUCAAAGCACACUUUAAACAGACUGGGCAGGGUGAUAAAAAGGGCCUCCAAAAUUAUUAACUGUGAACUCCCCACACUGGACUCAAUCCACAAACACCAUACCAUCACAAGGGCAUACAAAAUAAUUGAUGACCCACCACACCCAGCUCACCAUCUUUCCCGGCUCCUCCCCUCGGGUAGAAGGUUUGGAUCUCUGGGCGGUUCAACAAAGCGCUACAGUAACUCCUUCUUCCCCCUUGCCAUACGACUGCUAAACUCCUCUGGUCGACGUGUGUGAAAUCUGUGUUUUAUGUCCCGUGGUACCCCGUUUCAUAUGUUAUGUUAUGUCAUGUCACUGUGAAUUGUUUAAUGUCUGUUUAAAUUAACGUGGUGUAUUGUUGCAGCUACCACCUGCACUGUGAAAAAUUCCACCGGCCUAGCCGUGUGGCAAUUAAAGAAACUUGAAACUUGAAACUUCCAUGUAUUUCCCUGCACAAAAAACAACGCCUGGCGUGUCCAGACAUGUGAGAUCAAUUCAGUGUAGAUAUCUGUGUGAGGGGUAUGCUGACAAAGAAAGGCCCAGAGGACCACUACAAGAAUUAUUAUCAGCAAUAUUUUCAUGGAUUAUGAAGCCUGAUAAGGAAACCUAGAGAUGAGAACCAAAUUGGAUGAUGGAGGAUUGUUUUUAGUGUAAUUUACAGCUGAUUUAAGACUGGUCAAAAAUGACCCUUAACAUAGUGGGUGCGUAGUAAAAGCUAACACAGGAGGAAGGAUAUGCAAUUAACAUAAAAACUACAUAAUCAGCCCUACUAUUAUUACUUUUCCAUUGUUUAGAGUUACUCAGAGUGAUUUAAAAAAAAAAAAAGAUCAAUUUACAAUUAUGAUAGCUGAUGGAUUUGAAUACUGAAUCAUGUUUAUCCUAUAUUUAAUCAAAGGUUAAAAUUGCCACUUAUGUGCACUUUGAAACAGAUUUAAGUCCAGAUUGGCAGUAUCAAGCAAUUCCUGCCAGUGUCUUGAUCUUGAUUUUUUGGGAAAUCAUGGACCCCACAUCCUUUGUCUCAAAGAGACAGGAACCCCCUGGCUGUUAGAGGCCUCUUUUGGAAAUUAUGGACCCCAUGUCCUCUUGCCUAAUGGGGAAACAGACCACCUCACAGCUUGACAUCUUUUUUUGGAAUCAGGGACAUCACUUCAUCUGGUCAGAACUAUUUUAACAGAAAGAAAUAAACUUAAACCCCAGAUUCGUCCGUGUAUGUUCUAUCUGGUUGUAUGUAACAUAGGCUGAACUGACUUUUUUCUUCUGCAUAGGAUCCAUAGGCUGUAUAUUUUAUGAAGGCUAUGUAUAAAUGAACCUGGAGCCUUGGCAGGCAGAGCACUUCAUUUCCCACCGUUGCAUGUAAUCAUUGUACAGGAUAAGGUCAGGCACUACACUCUGUGCUGUAUUAGAUUCCACUCACUGCUACAGAGGCAUGAUAUGUAGCGCAGCCUCUUCUACGAUUCACUUCCAUAAGCAGAUAAUCAGUUGCAGUGACACAGUGUACAUGUGGAUGUGGACACGAGGUUUCCCUCACCUUCUGAAGAUUAUUAAAAGUGAAGAUGAAAAACACUCACUCUGGAGAAAAGAGCAGAUCUUAGUCCUUGGUCCAGCGCCUCUGCAGCUAGCCACUGCAACUGUAUUUAUGUUUAUGCGGCAGAUAAUUAACUAUUGAUUUAAGCUUUUGAUGUCCUUGUUUUCUGACCAAAAGUGUAAAGAGCUUGCAAGCUGAUAAGCUGCAACAUUUUUGGCCUGUGAUGUUAAGGGCCCAUCUCUUUGCCAGUUUCAAAGGGCGAUUGAUUACUUUGCUGUUUUCUGAGCGUCCACCAGGAUUCGAAUGACCGUAACUGACCCCCGGUGUACAGCGCAGCUCUGCCUACACCAGCACCCUUCACACCUUCACUAUGCAAUUUUAAUACAGUUCAAAUAAGUUGAGUAUCUGAAAAGUUUUCCCUGCCGUAAUAUGGUUAGAGUCGGUGAUCGACGGCCCUUGCUGCGCCUUGGCGUGUUGACAUCUUGAAGACAGGGCGACGCCAUUUAAAAGUCAAUAUCACAGACACAGAUUGGCAAUUUGAGAAGGAAAAAUGACACAGAGUAUUCAGAAGGGACUUAAAGUGUGCCAGACUAUGACAAUGUAAGCACUACAAGAACUUGGCAUUUUUGGAAAAUAGAGGUUAUGUAAAAUAAAAUUAAUUGGCUGCCCUACUUUGUGAGUGACACAGUCAACAUAAAACUCCUUUGAAAUUGACCCCAAAAAGUUCAGAGUUUUAAUUUUGAAUUAAUUCACCUCCUUCAAACAGAGUUGGAGCUGUGCAGAAUAACAAUAUAGGAAAAACGUGUUCUGCUUUGACAAACCAUUGUCUUCAACAAAGACGAAGAACCUGUCGGAGUUUGAGGGUUGUUGCUUGAGGCGGACGUUGACUUUCUUGAAAAUGUCCAAAAUUAAGACCAAGUUCAUGGGAGGAACCACAGUGCCAUCUUUUGAGACCGAAUGUCAACAAGUGUUAUCUGCUUUGCAGUGAGUGAGAUACAGUGAUCUUGUCUAUCGGAUAAAAAUCACCUGGAUGCCAGUCUCACAGAUUGAUUGGACUUCACAGUGGGAUGGUACAUUUUAGCAUUCUGCUUUCAGAGCUGAUAGCAUGAGCACAACAACAUUAUGACUCCCUUGGUCCUCAUUCAUAUUGACAGCUUCUUGCCAUGCAUCACAUUAUUAUUUUGCAGAAUGGACAAUCCUAAAGUUGUGUGUGAUCAUAUCUGUGCGUCUAUUUCUGCAUAUAUAGGAGAGUGCGCAUGAUGGAGAGCUUGAUGACGGUCUUUGUCUGUUGUAUUUGACCUGUUUGGGAUUGAGGUGAAGUUGGUGCGUGGGAAAGUAGCGAUGAGGGUGUACUUAUUCUACCUGUCUGGGACUGGCAUCGUUCUGAAUCAUUUUACAUGGAGACAAGAGAGAAACACGGGCAUCCCCCGGUCUCUCUUCUCCAUUAAAUAUUUUAUUUCACAAAAAAGUGUGUUCUUUUGAGUGGAGGGUUGGCUGUGCUUUCUCUCAGCAUGUAAAAGUACUUUCAACUGGGUUUGGUUAAACUAUCAUUAUGAGUAUUUUAGAGCAGUACAUGUCGAUAUGGGUGGGGGUCUGGGUGCCGUUUGGGACAUUCAAAAUGCCAAUACUUUGCUCUGAAUGAAAAGGUGAUCCAAACUUAAGGUAAUUUAUUGAUGAAGUAUUUUAGUCCGGGCAAAAGUGAUGGAUCAAACCAUUGCUAUCCAUUUUGAAGCAAAAAUAAAUACACAGUGAAAAACAACAAAGAGAAAACUUCUUCCGUUUUAUCCAAAAUAUGUUUUUGUCAGACUUUCUGAUGCUCUGAUCUUUUGUUGUAGUCUGCCUGGAGCACAAGACGGACAGGAUGUUCUUCUUCUCUAAGAUCCUAUUUGUUCAGACAGUUUGUGCCACUAAAAAUCAAUCAGUGUUUUUGUUUCCAGCUCUUUGAAGAGCUAUUUGAAACAGGAUCCUGUUUUCUUAAAAUAACAUUGGUCAUCUCUGCUCAUAGUCUUUGCAUUAUGGAACUGACUAGGAUGAACUUUCUUUUUUGUGUGUGUGUGUGCCUUUUUGGCACUGUUCCUUUGGCUUAAUACGGGGGGAUAGUGUUUAGCCUGUAAGCACAACCCGUCACCCUGAAAGAAUAAAUAGAUUUUAAAGUGAGCAUGACAGAAAAGCACAGCAGGCAGAAAGCAAAAACAAACUGAAAUAGGCUUCUAGGGAUUUGGCCACUGUAGCUUGAUACAGAGAGAGCACCAGAGUAUAUUUACUUGAUGAUCCUCUGUGUUCUAUAGCUCUCAGUCUUUUUAUUGGCAUCGGAAAAUAUUGUUUUUCACAACUGAAAUACUUUAAUGUCAUGAAAUACAAAACAGGACUUACUUAGCCCCCAAAGACGCCCUUGUGCUCUGGACUCGACUUCACUUGGCAGGCUGUUGGCUGAGGUAGAAUAACAAAUCACAGAAACAAUUUACAAUCUCAGCUGUUUAAGGUCAAAACAUCUACACCCUAAAAACUCUGAUAAGAAUAUACAAAUAUGCUGUAAUGUGAUUUUAUUAAGAAUUUUCAAGGGCUGCCAUAUCACUGCUGCUUGUUUUACCUGAGCCAAGAGGACAUAUAUGGUAAUAAAUGAGAACUUAUUUACAUUUAUUUGCAGAUUUUCCUUUAAAAGGCCAAAUCUGCAAGGACUAGACCCAGUUUUGGUGUUCUUACUCUGCUCAUAGUCUGAUUAGCGUUAUUAUCAUUGCAAGCAUGAAAUGCUGGAGCCCCAUUGGUGGACAUCCAACAACAAUUGGACAAGGAUAAGUACUUCUGCAUGGAAGCAAUCCAUUGUUAAAUAUAGUUUCUCAACCUCCACUGAAGGACCCAACCUAUGAAGGCCAGCUCCUGUAUCCCUGAAUUGAAGCACGGAUUCCAUUGCAAGUCCUCAAACAGUAAUUCCUUAAGUGAUUUGCUGCAAAACUCGACACAAAGUUGGGUCGUUGGAGCAUUUAAUCCAUUCACUCCACCGCUUUUGCACCAUCUAACAAGAGCCUACAUCCUAUUGUGUCUGUGCAUGCAAUUCUCGAGGAAAGCAACAUCUUCCAGUGCCGUCAAAGUCGACCCCUAAGAUUUAAGAAUACAUGCAUCUUGAUAAUAUACAGUAUAUCUAGUCCUAGGGGGGUAUCAAAAUAGAGCAGGCUUACAGUUUUGUGAUUUGGGGCAUCGGAAGGCGGGGAUUCAUGAGCCCAAAGUGUCAUAAGACUUAAAUCAAUCUGGGUCUAGAAUGAAUACGAUCAAUUGUGAAGAAGACGGUGUCUUCACUGCCCUUGCCACCAUCGCCUGAAAGUAUCUUGGCAGCUCUUUUUCCUGUUUGUCUUCAAGGAUUUGAGAUUUCUUCUCCAUUUGUCUUUAGCAUUAAAAAAAUCUUUGAAUCUGGAUUAACUCCCCCAAGAAAGUAUAAAAGAUGGAAGACCUAUGCAGUGUGUGCAAAGAAACAAAAAAAGAGCUCAAUAAGCCCAUAAAAGCACCCUCCAGCAACCCGGAUCCAUGUGCACUAGACUCCCGUGGAAAUAGGUCAAGUUGUAGCAUUAUUCAUAAAGGCAUGCUUCGUGAAAAUUCAUUGUGUUAAAAAAUAUAUUACAGCAGGGUAAACAUGAGACCAAUACUAGCUAACAACUAAAAAGUAUGCUGCUAAAACUCCCAAAGUAUUGGAAAAUUGGGGUAUUGGAAUAUAAAUCUCCCCCUCUGCUGGGAGCAACACGUGAGGGUUGUGUGAGGAGAGGAAAGUACAGGCUAUAUUUAAGGGAGGCUCAUUUAAUCGAGGGCUGCCUGGUGUUUGGUGGGGUUUGUGUCUCCAUUCGGGCUCAGAGUGGCCAAAUAAUGGGAUGGUUUUCGAUAUAAUGAUCAGAUCUUACACAACAUGAACAAGCGUUUAUUUCUGCCCCUGACUGUUCAAAAUGAGGCGUGACAUUAUCUGUCUUCCUCAUACUAGGUUUACACAAAAUAAAUGUUGAGACCCGGCUUUCAUGCAUUUCCCUUUUGUUGCCAUUUAUCCCAACCUCUUCAAGCCUCAGUCCCCCACAGAAUAUUUAUAUUGGGUGUCUUAGAAUCAGCAAAACUCACUCACAAUGACAAAUUUCCCAAGUAAGGAUGGGAAGAGGUUUAAUAGUUUGUGAGGGACUGCGUAAGCAACCAGUACAACAUUUCAAAAUGAUGCUUUCCAAGAAUCAACAAUACAAAAUGUCCUGUAAAAUAGAUGCGACCAUGGUUUUAGGGCCCUCAAGUGGCACUACAGUUAAAAACAGGCAUGACUCUGCAGCGGAAGUCUCCGCACGGGCUCAAACUGUAACCAAAAAUCGUUUUUCUGUGAUCACUUAUGCUUCCAAAGUGCUCUACACAUCUAGGAUGGCACCAUUAAUGCUGAACAAUGCCGAACCAUAUUCUGCAAUGAUGACUAUGUUGUAGAAGAGUCCUAGUGCUACCGGCAUGCCUCCAUUUCAACAUUUCAUAUGUCGUCUUUCCAUCAUUUCCAAUUAAAUAUAUAGUUUAAUGAUGUAUAAACUUUUAAAAUCUGAUUUCAUAAGCUGGUUUUACAGCUCUCUGACCUUUUUUUUGGGAAUGAGGGUUGCAGAACACAAUCAUUUCCCAAAGAGCAAAAGAACAGACAUCAUAUUAGAUCUCAUUUCGAGUUUGUUAACUUCACAAUAGACCAAAGGGAAAUUGGUCUAAGUGGAGUACAAACACAAACAAGCCGCACAAAAGCAGCUAUUUCAAUUAGCUGGGGUGUUUUUGGAGCUGUUGUUUGAUUCAUAUUCAGCUUGGCAACUUUCCCUUGGGUGAUCAUGAACUAGACUGGCAGCCCUUGCAAACUGACCCAGCCGAGACCUUGUUGGUCGGGGGCAGCUUUUUCUCGAGCUUUAAAGGAGCACAUUUGCAAAUGAUCUUCAUCAUAACCAAAUGAGGCCAGAGUUUGGAGUCAUAUCCUACCACCACGAUGUGCACUUUCAAAAACAAGUAUUUUCAGUCGAUUUCACUGUUUGCAUUUUGACCAUUCAAUUUUCGUUUUUUGCUCCAACUUUUUUAGCUUCACAUGUGAGUAGUUUAGCUUCCACAUCUAUUCAGCCUCUUGAGGGCCAUGUCCUAGAGAGAGUCAUGGGUCAAUUGGGACUGGGCACCAUUACAUCAUAUUUACUUAGGGACGAGAACUGUAUGCUCUCCCCAAGGAUACAAACACUUCUGUAGAAGAAGUCAUGUUUCUUUGUCUCUUUGACAUCUUCGAAGUCAACUUUGAGGCAUAUUCCUGAAAACUUUUCGAGAGGUAGUGAGUUAUCAGUGUAGGUUUUAAUCCAUCACGGUCAUGGUUUUCUAAUUCGUAGUUAAAAGGGCAACUUGACUUGUUUGAGAUUCUCAAAGACGUUUCGCCCCUCUUCCAAAAGGCGUCUUUAGUUCCAACGUGACUGGGGCCAAAGCUGGAAAUUUAUAGUCUCUGUUGGUCCUUGAAACAUCUUCAAGAACAUCAAACAAGUCCAGCUGCCCCUCUCAUAAAGAAUCGGAUGUUAAUGAAUUGCCCUCAGGUAGCACUGCACUAAAAUAGACAUGACUGGUUACAUUCAUACUGCAGGUUAUGACGCACAAAAAGAUAUGAUUUUUUGUUAAAUCCGAUCUUUUCGUGCGGUCGUUCACAUUACAACAACAAAUGUGGCAUCUAAUGUGAACGGAAUGCGUCCGUGAAGUGACCCGCAUGCGCACACAGCAAAAAUAGCUUUCCGCGCCUAUUUGCGUUGUCUAACAAUGGUGACGUUUGUCACAUAUUGAUGACGUAUAGGUCGGAUGAACGCGCCUGAGCGUCCACACUGCUGUCACAUUGGAUACAUAUCCAAUUCAUAUCCACAUACAAAAGAGGCCUGGGUCGGAUUUGAAAAAAUCAGAAUUGCACUGUUCACACUUACAUGAAAAAAUCAGACGUGUCACAAAUGAUUAACUAGAAAAGCACUCGGAGAGCGCAACCUCUGCUAAGCAGCUCAUGUCCCCCCUUAAACAAGAAAUUCCCUGACCAGGAUUUGAACCCAAGACCUUCUAGUUGUGAGGCGUGGUGCUAACCACUACACCACUGUGCCGCCCAUUGGUUAUCUUUCAGCAUUGAAAAUUCUGAACAACACCCUUAUUUUUGUGUGUUCUGGAUCACAGUAUCCAGAAUUUUGUCCUGAUCACCACCAAAAUGUAAUGGGAUCCUCCUGGGGCUGAGACGCACCUCUGGUGAAAAUUUCAGGUCAAUCUGUCUGUUACUUUCUCCAUAAAGUUGCUAACAGACGAACAAACAAACAAACCAACGCUACCGAAAACAUAACCUCCUUGGCAGAGGUAAAAAAUCGGAAUUGACCUGCAGUUUGAACAUAGCCUCUGUAGUGGAAGUUGCUGCAUAGGUAUGAAAUCGGUUGUAAUUUUUAAGCCAUUCCCUGUGUACCAAGUUUGUUAAGCAGCAAGAGUUUUGGACUCAAAACUCGAGAAUAUUUGCAAACUUAAUCAGUCAAACUUUGAAAUCUAAAAGAAAAAAUCCCAAAUUUACUCAAAGUUUCUGUCAGUUCCUAGCGUACCGCAGGGCAACUUGCGAGUGGCCUCCAUCAAAAGUAAUUACAGGAAACAAGCCUAAAACCGCUCAAUAUUAAGGGAAUCAUUUGACAGAUGUUGACUUGUGAUAGCCACACACUCAGGAACCAUUAACAAGAUGAACCUAGGUUAAGUUCUUAAUUACAUCAAAGAGCACAGACAUGCACAUCUCAUAUAAAUAACUUCACAAGGACAGAGAGCGGACUCCUUUUCGCUCUCACCAAAAACAAGGACUUUGUUGAUAGAAAUGCACGGAGCCUCGAUGAAUAACAGAAAAAACACAUGAAGUGAAACAUAACUAAUUAUUCUUGGCACUUUGUUGGGGUGGAUGUCACAUUUUGUUGGCUUUGUAUUGAAAUAACAAAUACAGAUUGUCUUCUUCCCAGUGCAUGCUGGGAUACGCUUGGGCUAGUCAUGACCCCAGAGAGAUUAAGUAGACUGGGAAGAGGGGGAUAAAAGAAAACAGAUGCGCAUCAGCCAUCUGAGUGUCUCACUGAUGUGUCGAAAAAGCCAAUACCGAAUCAGUUCAAUGAGCAUCUGAGAGGUGAGCCCUGACCUGACUAAAGAGUUCUGACAAGUGAGUUUCUCUUUACUCUUUGAUGAGGAUAAACAACUCGUCCAGAUAAGUGUAUGCAUGUUUAUGGGUGCGAGGCAGAGGGUGUGAAAGGAAAAUCAAGACGAGAGGGGAAAGAAAAAAAAAAAACACUCUUCGAGUUCAUCCCAAUUAAAUAAAUGAAUCAUCGCAGAGCAAAAGCUGAGUAGAUCAGAACAAGACUGCCAAUGGGUCUCCCACUGUUCCAGCCAGCGGGCCUCGGCUACCCUCGGAGAUUAAUCAAAUUCAGGGAAUGUUUGAUUUGCAUUUCAUUAAAGAUUUGGGUGGAAAAUUAAUGGGGAGGCACUUUGUUUUCAGGGGACUGGCUUUGCAAAUUUUCAAAAGCCUUCUUAAUUUGUGUCGUCUUCGCUUUGCAAUGUCACUCAAAUCCCCCCUUUUCUUUUAUCAGCGCCGACUGUUGGGUUCUCUUUGGUUCGUCUCUCUUGGGAAUGGGAAGGGAAUCAGCAAAAUCUGAUGUUUUUUUGGCCCGAGCUUUCCCUAUCUUUAUGUGAGCCGUCUGUUUUUACUGUGUUCUACCUACUUUGUAGAAAUUGGCACAUUUCAAAAGCUGCACUGUGUGUUUCAAUCUCUGCCAGGCCUCGAUUGUCGACCAGAUGAUUGAGAAUAAAUUUGAACGUUGCAUGGAAUAUUUCCAUCAUGCCAUGCCCUGUAUUGUAGUGGUUUCUGUGCAUGCAAAAGAAGAGUCUGAGCAUUGGGAAACAUAUUGAUAGUUUGCACAUUAUUUGAUUAGUUUUUUGACUCCCUUUAGUAAGGACAGGGGCUUUUAUCCUACUGUGUUGCAUCACCUCUAAUUUCAAUAACAACACUGUAUAUACUGAAGAGCUGAGGGGAACAGUUUCUUGGGUUUUGGAAGUGAAAUAUCCGAUUCUUACUUAAUUUAAUCAACUGUUUAGGGUCUCAUUUGCAGCUUGGAUCAAUGUCUGACUAAAGGUCCUUGGAUUAAACUAUAAUCCAUAAACGUAAGGUAACAACUGAGACGUAAUGGUGCUGUGACAGCAACGAGAUUGAGUUUGAGACAGUGAAAAUACACAUGGUAUGUUGUAUCUGAACAGGUUAGCUUACGAGCUAAAGUUACUUAGCACAGAUGAAAGUUAAAACAAAGACGUUUAGCAAACUGUUAAAGCACACAAACCAUCGUCACAUGAGAAAUCUGAUGCUAUGACUCUCCACAAGUUGUCCUUCAGGUUGUUAUCUUUGUAAUGUUUGUGUUUUUUAUCAAAAAGCACUCUGUUCUCCGACACGUAAACAAUCAGCCAGUCAGCCAUGUUGGAUAUACCG